CAGAGGGGGCAAGCGUUGUUCGGAAUUACUGGGCGUAAAGGGCGCGUAGGCGGCCUUCUAAGUCGAACGUGAAAUCCCCGGGCUCAACCCGGGAACUGCGUCCGAGACUGGAAGGCUUGAAUCCGGGAGAGGGAUGUGGAAUUCCAGGUGUAGCGGUGAAAUGCGUAGAUAUCUGGAGGAACAUCGGUGGCGAAGGCGGCAUCCUGGACCGGUAUUGACGCUGAGGCGCGAAAGCCAGGGGAGCAAACGGGAUUAGAUACCCCGGUAGUCCUGGCCCUAAACGAUGAAUGCUUGGUGUGGCGGGUAUCGAUCCCUGCCGUGCCGAAGCUAACGCAUUAAGCAUUCCGCCUGGGGAGUACUGUCGCAAGGCUG
rnacentral:rRNA from 1 species